UACGGAGGGUGCAAGCGUUAAUCGGAAUUACUGGGCGUAAAGCGUCUGUAGGUGGUUUAAUAAGUCAACUGUUAAAUCUUGAGGCUCAACCUCAAAAUCGCAGUCGAAACUAUUAGGCUAGAGUAUAGUAGGGGUAAAGGGAAUUUCCAGUGGAGCGGUGAAAUGCGUAGAGAUUGGAAAGAACACCGAUGGCGAAGGCACUUUACUGGGCUAUUACUAACACUCAGAGACGAAAGCUAGGGUAGCAAAUGGG
rnacentral:rRNA from 1 species